ACGACCUUACUUGAACAGGAUCUGUUCUAUAGGUUGUACAACUGUGUCCUUGAGUUCUAAGGAGACAAGAACCAAAGUCUGGUGGAUGAUUAGCUGCCUUGCGACUAGAGCGUGAAUAACGGUUAAUGGACCCCUGGUGGUCCUGUGGCUGUAGAUGAUCGUUCUCGGGGUAGGUUCGCCCUGCCUGGGAUGGUCGCAUGGCGGUCUGACAGACU